AGCAUGUAACUUCUAAUGCCAGCGAUAGUGAAAGUAGUUACCUAAUCUUGAUUACAGAUGAGUAUGGUUGCUCAAAAGGUGGUCAAGAAGAAUAUGUCUUGUCUUAUGAACCAGUGAACCAACAAGAAGUUAAUUAUACUCGACCAGUAAUCAUAUUGGGACCUAUGAAAGACAGGAUAAAUGAUGACCUGAUCUCAGAAUUUCCUGACAAAUUUGGAUCCUGUG